UUUGUUUUCUCCUAGUGUUACCUUCUCGGUAUGAGCAACUGUUGGUAUCCUCCUGGUUGUAGAGACCAUAGGAAAUCCAAAGUGGUCUUCCUUUCUGAAGGCUUCCACAGGAGGACAAACAUGUUCCAUGCUAACUGGACUCUGAAUUUUCUUCAUACCCUGCCUGGCUGUCCCAUUUGGAUACACACUGCUCCCAUGCCUGGUUCCUCCAAGGAGAGCACAGUUGAAGUAAACUUUCGAAGAUGGCAUAUAUGACCGGUCCUUUCCCUUUAACAUCCACAU